UAGUUGCCAGGACUUGCCGCGCCGCUCCCCUCUGGCUGGCACGCAUGCGUAUGCAUGCUUAGCAUACGCACGAUUAAGCACAAAUAAAGCAAAAAUGCCGGUUGCUUAGAGCUCUACGCAUGGUCUCACGCAUGCGGCACGCCUGUGCUUUACCUAAAGCAAGCUGCCACCCGGCGCUGUGUGCGUCCCGCCCGAUACUGUGCGCGUCCCGCACGGCACAUAAAAUGGGGCACAUGAGGCACCUGAAGCUCUCUUGAUGUGUUACAGUUCAUGCAUCUGCGCUCCGACACGUGCCCCUCGUACUGGUGUCGUGGUGUGCCAAAAUGGUGCAAGUCCGCACGGCUCUCCCGCCCGCUCCGUCCACACGACCCGCAACCCACCACGCACGUGCUGCACGCACACAUUCUGCAAGGCCUACCAUUGCAACACAACACUAAACGUACAGACCAGGCAUACUCAGGGUCUCGAGGCAAGUGUGAAGGCAACCGAUACGGAUCCCCUGCCAGCACUACACCCAGCCACCCGCCGAUCACACCAUAACACCAUGCGCGCACAGCGCCGCCUGCCAAUUCCGCUGCCGCCACCUGAAGUCUGCCGCUUGCCGCUAGCCGCCUCCAUACUUGAGCUCGGCCUGCAUGGUGUUUGGGGUAAGUUGGUCAGUGCAUGGUGGCACGGUGGUGUCGUACACGCAAGGCCUAGACCUCAUUCGGUCCCCUAGAACUAACAUCCCAUGUACGUCAUUCAAAUCCUAUCAUUCAUCCUAUUAUGAGUUGUGUAGCAACUUCCGAUCAAACUUGCCUGGUGAGGGUUAGAAGGGCCACGCAUUUACGCGCGCUGCGCCCCGAGUCGAAUUCCAGUGCCGGACCUGAGGAGACAAGGGGAGGGGGAGGGGGGGAGCUUCACACUCUGAAUCUCUGCUUAUGCUCUUACAACUUCGUCCAUACUGCGCAUGGAUGCUAGCUCGCUUGACCCCCUGAAUUUGUUGUUGCUUGUCGACCCCCUGAAAUGGCUGUCGCUAUGUGUCUUGACCUGCCUCACCUGGCACUGUUGAUUCCAGACUUGGUCUCUGAUGCUUGAUUUACAUCCUGUAACAGCAGCGUCAAGACCUGGCUUAGUUGUAGACCCGGUCAACGAGGGUCCGACACCCCCUGCGACAGCGCAGCCCAGCCCCAGCACCAGCAGCUCAUAACAUACCUUCCAAAGAUUGAUGCCAGGGCUUAGCAGGACUUGAAGACUCGCCCUGUAGACUUGAGCGCCAACUUUGAAAGCAAGUCCAUGGCCGACUGGCAGAGGACCACGAAGUCUCUACAUGGUGCUGAACGAUAGGUAUGUAGCUACAUGUUACAAAGACAGGUUGCUUGAAGAGUGAAGAACUGAACUCGAAAUAUAUGAGCCCCAUGCAGCCCCAUGCAACAAGGAACGCGCUCCAUGCGGGGUCUCGAUUUGCUUGCAUGCUCCGGCUUAAGUUAAUCUACAGCAGGCCGGUACGUCAGUCUUCAGCGCCGGUCCGGGCACGGGUCUCGCCUCCGCCUGCGCCUCCGCGGCUUGUGCUUAGGGAACCACCUGAAGCUGGAUACCGGCUUUCUCGGCUUCGCAUGGUUCGUCUUUACAGCUUUCUCAAUAACGGGGAAAGCCUCAUAUGCACACGCACCUCCGCUCAUGCCCACCGCCGCAUGAAGGAAGGCCGGGGGAGGCCUGGUGCGCCGGGCUGGAUACGGUGUAGAGCUCCCAUGCACACGCACCUCCGCUCACGCCCACCGCCGCAUGAAGACACGCCGGGGGAACGCCUGGUGCGCCGGGCUGGAUACGGUGUAGGGCUCCCAUGCACACGCACCUCCGCUCACGCCCACCGCCGCGUGAAGACACGCCGGGGAAACGCCUGGUGCGCCGGGCUGGAUACGGUGUAAGGCUCCCAUGCACACGCACCUCCGCUCAUGCCCACCGCCGCAUGAAGACACGCCGGGGGAACGCCUGGUGCGCCGGGCUGGAUACGGUGUCAGGCUCACAUGCACACGCACCCUCCGCUCACGCCCACCGCCGCAUGAAGGAAGGCCGGGGGAGGCCUAGUGCGCCGGGCUGGAUACGGUGUAGGGCUUCCAUGCACACGCACCUCCGCUUAUGCCCACCGCCGCGUGAAGACACGCCGGGGGAACGCCUGGUGCGCCAGGCUGGAUACGGUGUAGAGCUCCCAUGCACACGCAACCUUCGCUCAUGCCCACCGCCGCAUGAAGACACGCCGGGGGAACGCCUGGUGCGCCGGGCUGGAUACAGUGAAGGCUCCCAUGCACACGCACCUCCGCUCACGCCCACCGCCGCAUGAAGACACGCCGGGGGAACGCCUGGUGCGCCGGGCUGGAUACGGUGUAGGGCUCCCAUGCACACGCAACCUCCGCUCACGUCCACCGCCGCGCGAAGACACGCCGGGGGAACGCCUGGUGCGCCGGGCUGGAUACGAUGCAGGGCUCCCAUGCACACGCACCUCCGCUCAUGCCCACCGCCGCAUGAAGACACGCCGGGGGAACGCCUGGUGCGCCGGGCUGGAUACGGUGUAAGGCUCCCAUGCACACGCACCUCCGCUCAUGCCCACCGCCGCAUGAAGACACGCCGGGGGAACGCCUGGUGCGCCGGGCUGGAUACGGUGUAGGGCUCCCAUGCACACGCACCUCCGCUCAUGCCCACCGCCGCAUGAAGACACGCCGGGGGAACGCCUGGUGCGCCGGGCUGGAUACGGUGUAGGGCUCCCAUGCGCACGCAACCUCCGCUCACGUCCACCGCCGCAUGAAGACACGCCGGGGGAACGCCUGGUGCGCCGGGCUGGAUACGGUGUAGGGCUCCCAUGCACACGCACCUCCGCUCACGUCCACCGCCGCAUGAAGACACGCCGGGGGAACGCCUGGUGCGCCGGGCUGGAUACGGUGUAGGGCUCCCAUGCACACGCACCUCCGCUCACGUCCACCGCCGCAUGAAGACACGCCGGGGGAACGCCUGGUGCGCCGGGCUGGAUACGGUGUAGGGCUCCCAUGCACACGCAACCUCCGCUCACGUCCACCGGCGCGCGAAGACACGCCGGGGGAACGCCUGGUGUGCCGGGCUGGAUACGACGCAGGGCUCCCAUGCACACGCAUCUCCGCUCAUGCCCACCGCCGCAUGAAGACACGCCGGGGGAACGCCUGGUGCGCCGGGCUGGAUACGGUGUAAGGCUCCCAUGCACACGCACCUCCGCUCAUGCCCACCGCCGCAUGAAGACACGCCGGGGGAACGCCUGGUGCGCCAGGCUGGAUACAGUGUAGGGCUUCCAUGCACACGCACCUCCGCUUAUGCCGACCGCCGCAUGAAGACACGCCGGGGGAACGCCUGGUGCGCCGGGCUGGAUACGGUGUAGGGCUCCCAUGCACACGCACCUCCGCUCACGCCCACCGCCGCAUGAAGACACGCCGGGGGAACGCCUGGUGCGCCAGGCUGGAUACGGUAUAGGGCUCAAUUGCACACGCACCUCCGCUCACGCCCACCGCCGCAUGAAGACACGCCGGGGGAACGCCUGGUGCGCCGGGCUGGAUACGGUGUAGGGCUCCCAUGCACACGCACCCUCCGCUCACGCCCAUCGCCGCAUGAAGACACGCCGGGGGAACGCCAGGUGCGCCGGGCUGGAUACGGUGUAGAGCUCACGGCUUAAAUGCACACUGUCACCGUGGUUCUGCCCGACACUGUCAAUAAAGGUGCUUACAAGCACCAGUUUGGUUUCGGCUCCAUCGCGGAUGCUUGGAACAGUCACCGCCACGCGCCGCCGCAACCCCGGCCGCUCCCCCCGUUUACCCUGCUCAUGCCUCCCGCUCCCGUGCAGGUCCCGGGCUGAUAGCAGCGCGCAGCAGCGGCACUCGCCAGCCUUCCUCCCCACCAGCGGCCGCGCAACCGGUGACUGCUGGCCAUGCGCAGCCGCGGCAGCCACAGCCUCUGCCGCGGCUGCUUGGAACAGUCACCGCCACGCGCCGCCGCAACCCCGGACGCUCCCCCCGUUUACCCUGCUCAUGCCUCCCGCUCCCGUGCAGGUCCCGGGCUGAUAGCAGCGCGCAGCAGCGGCACUCGCCAGCCUUCUUUCCCACCAGCGGCCGCGCAACCGGUGACUGCUGGCCAUGCGCAGCCGCGGCAGCCACAGCUGCUGCCGCGGCUGCUUGGAACAGUCACCGCCACGCGCCGCCGCAACCCCGGCCGCUCCCGUUUACCCCGCCCAUGCCUCCCGCUCCCGUGCAGAUUCCGGGCUGAUAGCAGCGCGCAGCAGCGGCAGUCGCCAGCCUUCCUCCCCACCAGCGGCCGCGCAACCGGUGACUGCUGGCCAUGCGCAGCCGCGGCAGCCACAGCCUCUGCCGCGGCUGCUUGGAACAGUCACCGCCACGCGCCGCCGCAACCCCGGACGCUCCCCCCGUUUACCCUGCUCAUGCCUCCCGCUCCCGUGCAGGUCCCGGGCUGAUAGCAGCGCGCAGCAGCGGCACUCGCCAGCCUUCUUCCCCACCAGCGGCCGCGCAACCGGUGUCUGCUGGCCAUGGGCAGCCGCGGCAGCCACAGCCUCUGCCGCGGCUGCUUGGAACAGUCACCGCCACGCGCCGCCGCAACCCCGGCCGCUCCCGUUUACCCCGCCCAUGCCUCCCGCUCCCGUGCAGAUUCCGGGCUGAUGGCAGCGCGCAGCAGCGGCACUCGCCAGCCCUCCUCCCCAUCAGCGGCCGCGCAACCGGUGACUGCUGGCCAUGCGCAGCCGCGGCAGCCACAGCCUCUGCCGCGGCUGCUUGGAACAGUCACCGCCACGCGCCGCCGCAACCCCGGCCGCUCCCCCUGUUUACCCUGCUCAUGCCUCCCGCUCCCGUGCAGGUCCCGGGCUGAUAGCAGCGCGCAGCAGCGGCACUCGCCAGCCUUCUUCCCCACCAGCGGCCGCGCAACCGGUGACUGCUGGCCAUGGGCAGCCGCGGCAGCCACAGCUGCUGCCGCGGCUGCUUGGAACAGUCACCGCCACGCACCGCCGCAACCCCGGCCGCUCCCGUUUAGCCCGCCCAUGCCUCCCGCUCCCGUGCAGAUUCCGGGCUGAUAGCAGCGCGCAGCAGCGGCACUCGCCAGCCUUCCUCCCCACCAGCGGCCGCGCAACCGGUGACUGCUGGCCAUGGGCAGCCGCGGCAGCCACAGCCUCUGCCGCGGCUGCUUGGAACAGUCACCGCCACGCACCGCCAGCGCUCCCCCCGUUUACCGCGAUUAGUAGUUAGUACCUAGGUUUAACUCUUCAUAGAUACAUACAACAUAGAGCCUGGCACUCGUUGCUUUGCCUUUGUUUAACAAGGCCCAUCCCUAACGCCUUUCUCAUGGCAAUUGCAUUAUACGUGCUAAUAUACUGUUUGUUAACGCAGCAAAUGUAGAAGCAAUAGUUUGCACGUUGCAGUGCAGUUGGGGGAUCGCGAGGUUUGGCAAAGUCAUCGUUCGCUAUGUGUCUACACUGUGUGAGUUGAGCAAGUACUUAAGGUGAAGGCUUUGACGGGGCUUGCGUCGGGGGCUUGCGUAUUCGUGGGGCGCAUGCGUCUGCAUGCGUUCCGCAUGCGUGCUUCGCACGCACAACCGAGAGGUUUGCCGCCCUCCCCGGCCCUCAUGCUUCUUGCGUUCCGUGGACGCAUGCGUCCCACCCCCAACGCAUGCUUUACGCACAAAAAGCAGGUGUAACGCACAAACCCGUCCUUAUAGUGGCAAGCGUCAGCCGCAAGUUCAACUUCGGUGACCCACCCUGAACCUCCUCCACUUCACAAAGCGCGCCACCCGCCGUCCAGAUGGCCACAAAGUGCUCCAGCUUAGCCGCCUUGAGCUGUGCGGUGAGAAGCUGAGUGGGCAGAGCCGACAGGGUUUCAGGGGUUAGCGUGGCGGCAGUGAAACGCAGCCGCAUCACCCUGCGCAGCUCGCUGACCACCUCCCGAACCACAUGCUCCGACGUCUGCUUAGCAGGCUCGCGGGACCAGUACGCACACCAGACGGCGUACAAGAAGGUGGCCCGCAAAGUGCUCCACAGCAGCGCGCCCGCCCCCCGCGGGCCUGAGGCCCACAUACCCAUGCGGUCCCCCAGCAUGAAGCCUGCGUCCGUCACUGGCGGCGCCGCUGCCUGGGGCGCAACGCAGGCCCACAGCUGCUGCAGCCACGUCCUCGCCUGCGCAUAAGCUGGACACUCCAGGAAGUUUUCUGUUUUCUUCUCUUUUCUUCUCUUCUUGCCCUGUCAGGGUUCUGGUCUCGGGGACCAGGCUGCUUUCAGGCAGCAGGGGGGCAGCGCGUCUGCCCCUGUUCAACCCUGUAAGGAUGAUUCCUCAAAAAAAAGGAAGAUGUGCGUCAGGCUGGCCCACGCCCGCGGGCCAGGUGGCCCGCAGGCGGGGUGAGGACAGCGCGCCCCCAACCCCCCGCACCCCGUGGUCACCCGUGGCCGAAUGCCCUUGCCCGCCCUGUACAGCCCGCAAGGCAGGUAAGCAUGUUGCAGCCUGUACACCAGCACCUUUGCCCCCCGACUGGCGUGGCUGUCCCACAGCCUCCGCCACGUACCCCGCAGAAGGGACGCAUCCGGGGGCGGCAUGCGAGGGUCGCCCUCCACCGCCGCCGCUGCUGCCGCCGCCGCCGUGGCAGGCCCCGUGCUAGGCCCCGCCCCUCCCGCCGCCUGCUCCUGCAGCCGCGCGGACCGCCGCGGCCCCUCACCCGACUGCUGGGACAGGGACGCAUACGACUGCAGUUCUCUCGCCGGCGUGUUCUGCAGCCCGGCUGCCGCGGAGGUGCGGUGAAGCCGCGGCGGCGGCAGGUGCAGCUGCGGCGGCAGGUGGAGCAAGGGGCACUGCGCACGCCCCUGUUACCCAGUGGCGAGCAGGCGCCACCGGCUGCCCACCACGCUGACGACACGACCCUCACGGCGCGCGACCCGGCGGUGGACGGGCCGGUCCUGAUGGCGGCAGUACAGCUGUUCUGCCGCGCGUCCAACGCCCGUGUCCAUCCGGACAAGAGCAAGGCCAUGGGCCUUGGCAGGUUUGCGCACCUGACGGGCCCUUGCAUGCCCACACACGGGGGUGCCGUUUACCACUGGCGCCGUGACGCACCUGGGUGUGCCCCUGUCGUGGGACUCUGAUGCGGCUGCAGCUGACUUGUACACCCGGCGGGCUCGCGGCAUGGCGUUUGUGGCGCGUCUGUGGGCUGCCCUGUCUCUGACUCUCGUUGGCCGUGUGCACAUUGCGAAGCAGGUGUUGGCGGCGAAGCUGGCCUACCACUUCAGCUUCCUCAACCCGUCGCCUGCGCAGUUGAAGGAACUCACCGACCUGGUGGACCACUUUGCUGCGCGCUCCAUGCACGCUGAGGACGCCAGCCUGGUGUCGCACGGGAACCCGCUCCUGCUGCCAAAGCGGGAAACGGCCUGUCUGCCGUACAAGGAUGGGGGUGUCAACCACGUCGACCUGCCUGCGUUCCUGUCUGCCCUGCAAGCUAAGACCUUCGCCCUCCUUGCCCAGCCAGGCCGGCAACCCUGGAAGAUGCUCACCCGGGCGCUGCUUACUCAUGUGCGCCCGGACUCCGCCACCACGUGGGCGUGGGUGUACAGCGACGCGCCGGCGCCAGCGGGGCUGCCUGCCCGGCUGGCGGCCGCGGUCGGCCACGUGCGGAGCGCGGGCGUAGAACAGCAUCCACCGCAGCCAGCCACUCAGCCGCCAGCGGCGCCGCCACAGUGGCGGGUUAGCCUGGACCAGCUGUGGGUGGCUAACGCUGCGGGGGCUGUGUCCUACGUCCACUACACGGGGCGGCUCUUGGAGCCUGGGCCUGGCGUGCUGCCCCCGCCGGUGGAUGGGGCGUGGCAGCCUGCCUGUGUGCUGCAGCAUCGCAAGCCGCGGCACCUGUGGACCUUUGAAGAGCGGGCGGCGUACGAUGCAGCAUCACCAGGGGACCGGGCGGGGGCGUUGCCUCGGGCGCCGUACUUCCUGGCGCCGGAGGCUGGGGUGGUAGUGCACCCGGAGCACUGCCGGAUUGCGGGUGUCAGCUUAGCGGACUACACGGUGCGGGACGUGCGGCGGGCCAUCACCGCGGCCAACCCGGCCGCACCUCCGGCUCCGGCCCGCCCCGCAGCCAUGCCGUGCCCGGCGCCAACACAGCAGGCGGGGGAUUCGGGGCCCCAGCCGGUGGCACAGUCGCGGCUGGCGGAGCGGGAGGCGGAGUGGCAGCGUGCAGCGGCGCAGCUGACCACCACGGCGGCGCAGCAUUUCCACAAUAACCCGGUGGCUCUGGACCCCUGGCUCCACCGCACCUCCGCGGCAGCCGGGCUGCAGAACACGCCGGCGAGAGAACUGCAGUCGUAUGCGUCCCCGUCCCAGCAGUCGGGUGAGGGGCCGCGGCGGUCCGCGCGGCUGCAGGAGCAGGCGGCGGGAGGGGCGGGACCUAGCACUGGGCCUGCCACGGCGGCGGNNNNNNNNNNNNNNNNNNNNNNNNNNNNNNNNNNNNNNNNNNNNNNNNNNNNNNNNNNNNNNNNNNNNNNNNNNNNNNNNNNNNNNNNNNNNNNNNNNNNGCAGCCAGCCACUCAGCCGCCAGCGGCGCCGCCACAGUGGCGGGUUAGCCUGGACCAGCUGUGGGUGGCUAACGCUGCGGGGGCUGUGUCCUACGUCCACUACACGGGGCGGCUCUUGGAGCCUGGGCCUGGCGUGCUGCCCCCGCCCGGUGGAUGGGGCGUGGCAGCCUGCCUGUGUGCUGCAGCAUCGCAAGCCGCGGCACCUGUGGACCUUUGAAGAGCGGGCGGCGUACGAUGCAGCAUCACCAGGGGACCGGGCGGGGGCGUUGCCUCGGGCGCCGUACUUCCUGGCGCCGGAGGCUGGGGUGGUAGUGCACCCGGAGCACUGCCGGAUUGCGGGUGUCAGCUUAGCGGACUACACGGUGCGGGACGUGCGGCGGGCCAUCACCGCGGCCAACCCGGCCGCACCUCCGGCUCCGGCCCGCCCCGCAGCCAUGCCGUGCCCGGCGCCAACACAGCAGGCGGGGGAUUCGGGGCCCCAGCCGGUGGCACAGUCGCGGCUGGCGGAGCGGGAGGCGGAGUGGCAGCGUGCAGCGGCGCAGCUGACCACCACGGCGGCGCAGCAUUUCCACAAUAACCCGGUGGCUCUGGACCCCUGGCUCCACCGCACCUCCGCGGCAGCCGGGCUGCAGAACACGCCGGCGAGAGAACUGCAGUCGUAUGCGUCCCCGUCCCAGCAGUCGGGUGAGGGGCCGCGGCGGUCCGCGCGGCUGCAGGAGCAGGCGGCGGGAGGGGCGGGACCUAGCACUGGGCCUGCCACGGCGGCGGCGGCAGCAGCGGCGGCGGUGGAGGGCGACCCUCGCAUGCCGCCCCCGGAUGCGUCCCUUCUGCGGGGUACGUGGCGGAGGCUGUGGGACAGCCACGCCAGUCGGGGGGCAAAGGUGCUGGUGUACCGGCUGCAACAUGCUUACCUGCCUUGCGGGCUGUACAGGGCGGGCAAGGGCAUUCGGCCACGGGUGACCACGGGGUGCGGGGGGUUGGGGGCGCACUGUCCUCACCCCGCCUGCGGGCCACCUGGCCCGCGGGCGUGGGCCAGCCUGACGCACAUCUUCCUGGAGUGUCCAGCUUAUGCGCAGGCGAGGACAUGGCUGCAGCAGCUGUGGGCAUGCGUUGCGCCCCAGGCAGCGGCGCCGCCAGUGACGGACGCGGGCUUCAUGCUGGGGGACCGCAUGGGUAUGUGGGCCUCAGGCCCACGGGGGGCGGGCGCGCUGCUGUGGAGCACUUUGCGGGCCACCUUCUUGUACGCCGUCUGGUGUGCGUACUGGUCCCGCGAGCCUGCUAAGCAGACGUCGGAGCAUGUGGUUCGGGAGGUGGUCAGCGAGCUGCGCAGGGUGAUGCAGCUGCGUUUCACUGCCGCCACGCUAACCCCUGAAACCCUGUCGGCUCUGCCCACUCAGCUUCUCACCGCACAGCUCAAGGCGGCUAAGCUGGAGCACUUUGUUGCCAUCUGGACGGCGGGUGGCGCGCUUUGUGAAGUGGAGGAGGUUCAGGGUGGGUCACCGAAGUUGACGGGGGGGUCGUCUAAAUGGUUAAGACACUCAAGCCGAUUUCGUUAAGGCUUCGAGAGAUCCUGGGUUCGAAUCCCGGUCACCCCACCAGGAAGGGCCCUGGUUUACCAAAACCCAUCCACACCUAGGUGGUGUGUAGACCCCCCCUGUGGUGCAGGGAAUCUCUGGGGUUCAAGGCUGGAGCUCUGGGCCUGCAACUGGAGAGCUUUCAAGUUCAAGAUCCAAGAUUCAAGUGGAGCUCUGGGCCUGUCAACUGGAGAGCUCUAGAUGAUCUGUGUGGUCAUGGCAGUGGCUGUAGUUGUCACCUAGCUGUUGAGAACUCCAGUAGGUGUGUGGUGUCACCUGGCUGUUGAGGUUUCCAGUAGGUGUGUGGUGGAACAAACACUUCUCUUCUCUUCUCUGAUCUCUGGCCCUAUCGAGGUCCUGUGAUAUGAUCCAGGCUGCCUUGGCAGUAGGGUGGUAGUGCGUCUACCACCACAACCUUGUAAGGAUGACUUUUAAAAAAAAAAAGUUGAACUGCGGCUGACGCUUGCAUCACCUGUGCAGGCCCCCUAGGUUUCCUUUUGGGCGGCGGUUCGUUCCAGGCGCUGGCGUGGCGUUUAUCGUCAUCAGCUUAUCUGGCGCCCAUGUGUUUUAGCUCUGGCUGGCGUCGCAGCGCCUGGGCGGCUGUGGGACUUCCUGCGCAGCGCGUCUUGCAGCGGGCUGGAGCCCGCUUAGUCAGCGCCACAUCUGGCCCGUUUAGUUUUCUGCUUGUGUCUCCUCUGCCGGUUCUCCUGGGGUGUUGCUUAAGCAACCGACUUGUGGGGGUGGGGUGGGUUUGGGCGGGGCGAGUGCGUUCCGCUGGUGUUUUCUUUUCUGGCGCGCGGUGGUGGUGGUUCUUGCGGUUAGGCUGUGGUGUAGUUUGGUGCUUGGGUUAGGUCUGGCGGUGUUUUUGUGCAACCCCUCCCGGGGGGCGGGGGGGCCAGCCUCCUGCUCUGUCUGCCGGGUCGGGGUGGGGUGGGGUGGGAUGGAUGGGGGUGGUUGGUGGCGGUUUUCGAGGUGUUUGCUUUCUGUUUUCUUCUCUUUUCUUCUCUUCUUGCCCUGUCAGGGUUCUGGUCUCGGGGACCAGGCUGCUUUCAGGCAGCAGGGGGGCAGCGCGUCUGCCCCUGUUCAACCUUGUAAGGAUGAUUCCUCAAAAAAAAAGCGGCGCCGCCAGUGACGGACGCAGGCUUCAUGCUGGGGGACCGCAUGGGUAUGUGGGCCUCAGGCCCGCGGGGGGCGGGCGCGCUGCUGUGGAGCACUUUGCGGGCCACCUUCUUGUACGCCGUCUGGUGUGCGUACUGGUCCCGCGAGCCUGCUAAGCAGACGUCGGAGCAUGUGGUUCGGGAGGUGGUCAACCCCCCGCACCCCGUGGUCACCCGUGGCCGAAUGCCCUUGCCCGCCCUGUACAGCCCGCAAGGCAGGUAAGCAUGUUGCAGCCGGUACACCAGCACCUUAGCCCCCCGACUGGCGUGGCUGUCCCACAGCCUCCGCCACGUACCCCGCAGAAGGGACGCAUCCGGGGGCGGCAUGCGAGGGUCGCCCUCCACCGCCGCCGCUGCUUUUUUUUUUUUGAGGAAUCAUCCUUACAAGGUUGACCAGGGGCAGACGCGCUGCCCCCCUGCUGCCGCCGCCGCCGUGGCAGGCCCAGUGCUAGGUCCCGCCCCUUCCGCCACCUGCUCCUGCAGCCGCGCGGACCGCCGCGGCCCCUCACCCGACUGCUGGGACGGGGACGCAUACGACUGCAGUUCUCUCGCCGGCGUGUUCUGCUGCCCGGCUGCCGCAGAGAUGCGGUGGAGCCAGGGGUCCAGAGCCACCGGGUUAUUGUGGAAAUGCUGCGCCGCCGUGGUGGUCAGCUGCGCCGCUGCACGCUGCCACUCCAUCCGCCUCCCGCUCCGCCAGCCGCGACUGUGCCGCCGGCUGGGGCCCCGAAUCCCCCGCCUGCUGUGUUGGCGCCGGGCACGGCAUGGCUGCGGGGCGGGCCGGAGCUGGAGGUGCGGCCGGGUUGGCCGCGGUGAUGGCCCGCCGCACGUCCCGCACCGUGUAGUCCGCCAAGCUGACACCCGCAAUCCGGCGGUGCUCCGGGUGCACCACCACCCCAGCCUCCGGCGCCAGGAAGUACGGCGCCCGAGGCCACGCCCCCGCCCGUUCCCCUGGUGAUGCUGCAUCGUACGCCGCCCGCUCUUCAAAGGUCCACAGGUGCCGCGGCUUGCGAUGCUGCAGCACACAGGCAGGCUGCCACGCCCCAUCCACCGCCGGCGGGGGCAGCACGCCAGGCCCAGGCUCCAAGAGCCGCCCCGUGUAGUGGACGUAGGACACAGCCCCCGCAGCGUUAGCCACCCACAGCUGGUCCAGGCUAACCCGCCACUGUGGCGGCGCCGCUGGCGGCUGAGUGGCUGGCUGCGGUGGAUGCUGUUCCACGCCCGCGCUCCGCACGUGGCCGACCGCGGCCGCCAGCCGGGCAGGCAGCCCCGCUGGCGCCGGCGCGUCGCUGUACACCCACGCCCACGUGGUGGCGGAGUCCGGGCGCACAUGAGUAAGCAGCGCCCGGGUGAGCAUCUUCCAGGGUUGCCGGCCUGGCUGGGCAAGGAGGGCGAAGGUCUUAGCUUGCAGGGCAGACAGGAACGCAGGCAGGUCGACGUGGUUGACACCCCCAUCCUUGUACGGCAGACAGGCCGUUUCCCGCUUUGGCAGCAGGAGCAGGUUCCCGUGCGACACCAGGCUGGCGUCCUCAGCGUGCAUGGAGCGCGCAGCAAAGUGGUCCACCAGGUCGGUGAGUUCCUUCAGCUGCGCAGGCGACGGGUUGAGGAAGCUGAAGUGGUAGGCCAGCUUCGCCGCCAGCACCUGCUUCGCAAUGUGCACACGGCCAACAAGAGUCAGAGACAGGGCAGCCCACAGACGCGCCACAAACGCCAUGCCGCGAGCCCGCCGGGUGUACAAGUCAGCUGCAGCCGCAUCAGAGUCCCACGACAGGGGCACACCCAGGUGCGUCACGGCGCCAGUGGUAAACGGCACCCCCGUGUGUGGGCAAGGGCCCGUCAGGUGCGCAAACCUGCCAAGGCCCAUGGCCUUGCUCUUGUCCGGAUGGACACGGGCGUUGGACGCGCGGCAGAACAGCUGAACUGCCGCCAUCAGGACCGGCCCGUCCACCGCCGGGUCGCGCGCCGUGAGGGUCGUGUCGUCAGCGUGGUGGGCAGCCGGUGGCGCCUGCUCGCCGCUGGGUAACAGGGGCGUGCGCAGUGCCCCUAGCUCCACCUGCCGCCUCAGAAAGGACGUCAGUGGCUGCAUCUGGAUGACCCACAGGGGUGGUGAGGCGGUGCUGCCCUGCGGCAAGCCGUUCAGCACUGGGAAGGCGUCAGAGAGCAUCCCGUUCACACACACGCGGGCAGAGCCGUUGGCAGUGAGCAGGCGGAUCCAGCGCAGCAUGCGCGGCCCAAACCCAAGUCCCUCCGCGGACGCAUACAGCCACUGCCGGUGCACCCGGUCAUACGCCUUUUUGGGCUGAGCCCCCUGAGCGAAGCGAUCCAGGGGGGGCGAAGCCCCCCAGGAUUGCCCCUGUCCGUGCCUGCCUGCCUGCCUGCCUGCGUGCCUGCCUGCGUCGACAAAAAGUGCCAAACUGGCACAAACCGGGAGCGCCACGUAUUAUUAAUUGCUAUUCCCUAUUGUAGAAAAAUAGGCGGCAGGGAAAACUCGGCCGGAGCGAGAGGCGACCUCGCGAGUCCAUGGACAUCUUGACUUUCUUCAGCCGCGAGUAUCGCUCCCGGGCCCUGAAUAUCUUACAUACAUGUAUCAAAACAUGUCGACGACAAGCGCCUUGGGGCAAGAAUGUCGAAAUUUUGUGCAACAGCCGAACAUGCGUGCCGAGCCCGCCUUUAAUGUGUCGCGACCCCGGAUCACGCGCCUGAGCCCGGCUAGCCCUUUGUGGUGCUUGUGAGGGAUUUGGAAUGAGGUACUACCGGCUCAUGUGUGGAGUGGCGUGGAGCCGUGGACAGGGCGUGGCGGUGCCUUGGCGUUGCCAGUCCCGCUGGGCUUGCAAGGGUGCUGGUCAUGUCGCCGGUACCCAUCGACCAUCGUCACAUCCCUUGCUCUGUAAGGGGCUCAGCCCAUUUUCCAGCUGUACAAAGCUGACACCCCUUGUCAAUGCCGGAGCAGGGCUGCCUGCCGCAGCUGUCGUGGCCGUCCCAGCCGCCUGGGGGGCCUGGGCCUGGCGUGCUGCGGGGGGCGGGCGCGCUGCUGUGGAGCACUUUGCGGGCUACCUUCUUGUACGCCGUCUGGUGUGCGUACUGGUCCCGCGAGCCUGCUAAGCAGACGUCGGAGCAUAUGGUUCGGGAGGUGGUCAGCGAGCGAGAAAAAAAAAAGCUGCGCAGGGUGAUGCAGCUGUGUUUCACUGCCGCCACGCUAACCCCUGAAACCCUGUCGGCUCUGCCCACUCAGCUUCUCACCGCGCAGCUCAAGGCGGCUAAGCUGGAGCACUUUGUUGCCAUCUGGACGGCGGGUGGCGCGCUUUGUGAAGUGGAGGAGGUUCAGGGUGGGUCACCGAAGUUGAACUUGCGGCUGACGCUUGCAUCACCUGUGCAGGCCCCCUCGGUUUCCUUUUGGGCGGUGUUUCUUUCCAGGCGCUGGCGUGGUGUUUUAUCGUCAUCAGCUUAUCUGGCGCCCAUGUGUUUUAGCUCUGGCUGGCGUCGCAGCGCCUGGGUGGCUGUGGGCCUUCCUGCACAACAAGUCUUGCAGCGGGCUGGAGCCCGCUUAGUCAGCGCCACAUCUGGCCCGUUUAGUUUUCUGCUUGUGUCUCCUCUGCCGGUUCUCCUGGGGUGUUGCUUAAGCAACCGACUUGUGGGGGUGGGGUGGGUUUGGGCGGGGCGAGUGCGUAGCGCAGUGUUUUCUUUUCUGGCGCGUGGUGGUGGUGGUUCUUAUCUGGUUUGGUUUGGUUAACACCACUCUCGUUAGAGGGUUAAAGGUCCUGGGUUCGAUUCCCGGGGAAACCCCCGGAUUUCCGGGCAAUGAAACGCCAGUCUGAAUGAAGUUUGGACUUUGGUUGACUUAGUCGGAUUUCCUCUGUGGCUGUACGCCUUUGUCGGCAAGUAGUUCGGGUGAAUGGAUGAGGCGGUGUGGCUAGUAGGCAGUCUCUAUCUGGUGAUGAUCCCCUUGGAUCGGUUUCUGCCAGGUUCUUUGAGAUCCAGCUUGGCUGGUCACAUUGUAACAAUAACUUUUUUUAUCUUGCGGUUAGGCUGUGGUGUAGGUUGGUGCUUGGGUUAGGUCUGGCGGUGUUUUUGUGCAACCCCUCCCGGGGGCGGGGGGGCCAGCCUCCUGCUCUGUCUGCCGGGUCGGGGUGGGGUGGGGUGGGAUGGGUGGGGGUGGUUGUUGGCGCUUUCGAGGUGUUUGCUUUCUGUUUUCUUCUCUUUUCUUCUCUUCUUGCCCUGUCAGGGUUCUGGUCUCGGGGACCAGGCUGCUUUCAGGCAGCAGGGGGGCAGCGCGUCUGCCCCUGUUCAACCUUGUAAGGAUGAUUCCUCAAAAAAAAAGCGGCGCCGCCAGUGACGGACGCGGGCUUCAUGCUGGGGGACCGCAUGGGUAUGUGGGCCUCAGGUUCGCGGGGGGCGGGCGUGCUGCUGUGGAGCACUUUGCGGGCCACCUUCUUGUACGCCGUCUGGUGUGCGUACUGGUCCCGCGAGCCUGCUAAGCAGACGUCGGAGCAUGUGGUUCAGGGUGGGUCACCGAAGUUGAACUUGCGGCUGACGCUUGCAUCACCUGUGCAGGCCCCCUAGGUUUCCUUUUGGGCGGCGUUUCUUUCCAGGCGCUGGCGUGGCAUAUUAUCGUCAUCUGCUUAUCUGGCGCCCAUGUGUUUUAGCUCUGGCUGGCGUCGCAGCGCCUGGGCGGCUGUGGGCCUUCCUGCUCAGCGCGUCUUGCAGUGGGCUGGAGCCCGCUAAGUCAGCGCCACAUCUGGCCCGUUUAGUGUUUCCUUAGCAGGUUUUCCUGGGGUGUUGCUUAAGCAACCGACUUGUGGGGGUGGGGUGGGUUAGGGCGGGGCGUGUGCUGGUAGCGCUGGUGUUAUCGUUUCUGGCGCGCGGUGGUGUGUUUUCAGGUGGUGGUAUUUCUUGCGGUCAGGCUUUGUUGUAGGUUGGUGCUCGGGUUAGGUCUGGCGGGUUUUUAGGAAACCCCUCCCGGGGGGCGGGGGGGCCAGCCUCCUGCUCUGUCUGCCGGGUCGGGGUGGGGUGGGGUGGGUUGGAUGUGGGCGGACGUUGGUGUUUUUCGGGGUCUUUCCUUUCAGCUUUCUUCUCUUCUCUUUUCUCCUUGCCCUGUCGGGGUUCUGGUCUCUGGGGCCAGGCUGCGUCGGGUCCUCCGUGCCCAGCAAUAGGGGGGAGCGUGUCUGCCCCUGGUCAACUCUGUAAGGAUGAAGCCUCAAAAAAAAAGCCACCCAACCGCGCGGGGUGGUUUCACCAGCACUGGAGUGAUAUGGGGCGUUCAAGAGUAGGGCCACAGGUGGCGGUGGUUAGGGUGGGCGCAACGGCGGCGGUGCGGUGGUGGCCCCCCACAGGCCAUAGCUGCUGUCGUCGCCAGCGCUCACGCUGAACCUGUGCUGCCCCCCGCUGGCGGCACCCCAGAUUGCAUUGGUUACAAGAGGGACCUGCUGACGCAGUUCACGAGCCAGUGACGUGGAGAACGAACACCCUGCUCUGGAACACCCCAGCGGCUGUUGUCCGUUCAUUUUUGCAUAACAUGAUGCUUACGGGGCACGCCCCAUGUAUCGCUUGGCCCUGCUCCUUCCUGUCAGUCUCCCUGUCCUGUCACGUGUCCUGUUUGGUGUGUGAUGGGACAGAGUUCAGGCAGGUUGGCGAGGUCCCAUAGGGUGCAGCGGACGCCCAUACCCCAAGCAGACAGCAAACAGUUUGCAGCGACAGAGCAGGAGUGCAUGGCUGGUCGAAAGCCGGAGUUACUGUACCGACAAGUUGCUGGCUGGCUGGAAGUUUGCUGAUGCGCAUUCCUCACGCUCCGGGCGCCCGGCCAGGCGAUAGCGCCACACAGACACACCGCAACGCCACACUCGCUCGCGAUGCAGAGCCGCAGCGCACCUGCAGGAAGAUGACCAGCGUCCACGGAUGAGCACCAAAUGCAACACAGAGAAAACGCAACAGUAUGCAGCAAAGCAAUGGCCGGGCGACAGUAUGACAAGCAGGGGCGAAAACAGGGCGCGGCAAGGCAGAAAAGGGAGCCCGAAUGUACGGAUGAGUGGCGGGCGAUUCGAAUGCGAGUGCGAGACAAACAUAACCGGAGUGUGAGGAAGCGCCACGGGUUAGCGAACAAGUUUGCUGGCGUCGCACGCUGGAGCUGGCGCUUUUUCUUUGAGGAAUCAUCCUUACAUGCUGCAGCUGGCGCUGGAGUGUGAACACUGUAGGCAGAUAUGAAAUGUGAGGCACAGGAGGCGGUUAGCUGUCAGGAGAGGCGGGGACGGCGGGCACAGCUGGCGAGUGAAACUGGCACGGUCAGUAGCAGCUGCCUGGUCGGUAGGUGGUGCGCACGGUUACGGGAGUCCGGGCUCACCAAGAGCUCCCCGGGGGCACAGAGGCACGCGCGUUAAAAAUGACACAGGAGCCACACAGCCAGGCAGGUCCAGAAGCGCCCACACAGGCACGCGCACACGUGUGCGUGUGCGUGUGCGUGUGCGUGCGUGUUUAGUGCGUGCGCGCGCGUGCGUGCUUGUGCGUGCGUGCGUGCGCACACGCACACACCCACACACACGCGCACACACACAUACACGCCCACGCACACACACACGCGCAGCCCGCCGGCCGAAAGGCCAGCCACAGAAGCGACCGCGCCAGCAGCCCAGGGCCGGCGCGAUUGAUGACCCGCUACCUGGCGCCAAGCCCCCACACACAACCGCGUUACCAUCGUUACCAGACCUCGCCUGGCAGCCGCGGCGUUAGGAACACCGGCGCGGCGACCGGCACACCGCCAAGCGGCGUGCCCUGGCCGCGUCCGGCGCCCCACCCCCAGGCACUUACUAUAGCCGCCGCACCGCUCGGUACCGCCGCCGCCGGGUAAGGCCCAGAGCUCCACGUGCGCCGGUGCUGUCAUGCGGGCUGUAGCUGGAGGCUGCGGCCGACUUGCCCGCGGGCUGUUGCUGACGGAGGGACAUGUCGCUGGCCGCCAGCUGGCGAGCGGGCCGGCGGAGACGGAGGAGGGGGCGGACUCGGUUAUGCCAGCAGAGUGCUAGGCGGGGUGAACAGUCGGAGGCCAUGGCUGGGAGGGGAGGAGGCGGCAGAGGGGGCGGCGGCAGGGAGGAGAGAUGGCGGAGGGGGAGGCGCAGCGGGCGGCGGCGGUGGCGGCAGCGGCAGAGGCGGCGGGGUCGGGGUACCGGGGAACGCAUCCGAACACGAUGAUGUUGGCGGCAAGCAGGCGUGCGUCGGCGGCCGGGGGCUGUCAGACGGCGGCUGGUUGGGCGGCGGCGCCGGCCUGGGGCUGAGGGCUGAGGAGGAGGAGGCCGGCCGGGACUAAGGCUGAGGCUGGGGAGGAGGAGGCUGAGGCUGGGGAGGUGGCUGGGCCGUGGGGGCGUGGAAGGGACAGCACCAUGUCUGGCAAGCACGGGAGUGGCAGAGAGGGCGCAGGUCGAGCAGCGCCGGCGGGUUGAAGGGAGGCGCCG
rnacentral:lncRNA from 1 species